UAUCAUUAUUAAAACGUUUCUUAGGACUUCUUACUACACGUUGGUCCUUGAUCUUUGACAUUGGUGACGGCUCCUUUCUCUCUCCAAUCCAAGGAAUCUGGUGCUUGAGUCAUAUUCUCGUAGAAGAACGGUUUGGAGUCGAGUAUUUUCUUGUGAUCACUCAUAUCAAAACAUGUGUGAGCGUUGACAAACUCGACGUCGGUCAAGUUUGCAAACUUGUUGAGCUUGAGCUUGUACGGUUUUCUCUCCUUGUUGGUUUUGACAAUAUAUUCUGCAUUUUUUUUAAAUACAUCGAAACUACUUUCUGUUUGGUGGAUGGGCACAAGAUAGUGGCCCAUCCACCUCUUGUACAACUUUUCCAGACCCUCAUCACUUUUUAGCUUUGUCUCAUUGUAUUUGUUCCAUGAGCUUUUAGCUCUAGAAUGAGAAGAGUAAACAUAAGAAUAAUUAAGAUAUGCUUAGUCAUUUUGUUUGAUUUCUUCUUUUUGAUUGUUUUUAGUGCGAGAGUUAAGUAGACAAACGAACACAUUCAUAUAUACUUGGUGGAUCAAACUUUUUUCUUA
rnacentral:sRNA from 1 species